GGGGGGGGGCGGCGUGCUACCAUGGCAGUCGAACGAAGCACUACCGACGGAACUUUUCGGAGGGAAGAUGGUAACGAUUGAGUGGCGGACGGGUGAGUAACGCGUGGGCAACCUGCCCCAUAGAGGGGGACAACAGCUGGAAACGGCUGCUAAUACCGCAUAACAAGGAGAGAGCGCAUGUUCUUUUCUUCAAAGAUUUAUCGCUAUGGGAUGGACCCGCGUCUGAUUAGCUGGUUGGCGGGGUAACGGCCCACCAAGGCGACGAUCAGUAGCCGGCCUGAGAGGGCGGCCGGCCACAUUGGGACUGAGACACGGCCCAGACUCCUGCGGGAGGCAGCAGUGGGGAAUAUUGCACAAUGGGGGAAACCCUGAUGCAGCGACGCCGCGUGGGCGAGGAAGUACCUCGGUAUGUAAAGCCCUAUCAGCAGGGAAGAAACAGGACAGUACCUGACUAAGAAGCCCCGGCUAACUACGUGCCAGCAGCCGCGGUAAUACGUAGGGGGCAAGCGUUAUCCGGAUUCACUGGGCGUAAAGGGAGCGCAGGCGGCAUGGCAAGUCUGAUGUGAAAACCCGGGGCCCAACCCCGGGAGUGCAUUGGAAACUGCCAGGCUGGAGUGUCGGAGGGGUAAGCGGAAUUCCUAGUGUAGCGGUGAAAUGCGUAGAUAUUAGGAGGAACACCAGUGGCGAAGGCGGCUUACUGGACGACUACUGACGCUGAGGCUCGAAAGCGUGGGGAGCAAACAGGAUUAG
rnacentral:rRNA from 1 species